rnacentral:rRNA from 1 species
AACGUACGCUGGCGGCACGCCUAACACAUGCAAGUCGAACGAAGUAGCAAUACUUAGUGGCAGACGGGUGAGUAACAUGUGGGUAUCUACCCUUUGGCCUGGAAUAACACGAGGAAACUUGUGCUAAUACUAGAUAAGUCUUUACGGAGAAAGCUUUAUGCACCAUUGGAUGAGCCCGCACUUGAUUAGUUUGUUGGUGGGGUAAUAGCCUACCAAGACUGUGAUCAAUAGCUGAUUUGAGAGGAUGAUCAGCCACAUUGGGACUGAGACACGGCCCAAACUCCUACGGGAGGCAGCAGUGGGGAAUCUUGCACAAUGGAGGAAACUCUGAUGCAGCGAUGCCGCGUGAGUGAAGAAGGCCUUUGGGUUGUAAAGCUCUUUCGUCGGGAAGAAAUGACUGUACCCGAAUAAGAAGGUCCGGCUAACUUCGUGCCAGCAGCCGCCGUAAC